GAUGAAGAACGUAGCGAAAUGCGAUAAGUAGUGUGAAUUGCAGACUUUAGUGAAUCAUCGAGUCUUUGAACGCACAUUGCGCCCCCUGGCAUUCCGGGGGGCAUGCCUGUCCGAGCGUCAUUGCUGCCCUUCAAGCCCGGCUUGUGUGUUGGGUCGUCGUCCCCCCCGGGGGACGGGCCCGAAAGGCAGCGGCGGCACCGCGUCCGGUCCUCGAGCGUAUGGGGCUUUGUCACCCGCUCGAUUAGGGCCGGCCGGGCGCCAGCCGGCGUCUCCAACCUUCUAUUUUACCAGGUUGACCUCGGAUCAGGUAGGGAUACCCGCUGAACUUAAGCAUAUCAAUAAGCGGAGGA
rnacentral:misc_RNA from 1 species